CAUAUACUUACCUGAGCAUCACAGUGGGUAAAAUAUACCCAAAACAGUCUUCUGUUAUGAAAACAUGUGUGUUACCAUAAUGGAAUGUGGGUGUGACUCACAGAAGCUCCAUCUGGGGAAAACAAAAACCCAGCUGUGCAUUUACCCAGGUGGAAGAUGAAUGGCAAGGUGUGUACAGGAGCUCCAAAGCAGCAACAGGCCAGUGUUACUCAUGAAAUGCUCAUUGCUAAAUUUCUGUGCAUUUAGGAUUUGUUUCAAUAAAGUUUUCUUUUAACUUUUCUGGUAGAAGUAACACAAUUAAGGACAAUGGCAGAUGAAAAACAAGAUUUGUAAGUUUUGGAAGUGGUCAAAAGUGAAUCAUCAGGUUAAUCCGGCUUGGAUAAUGAUAACUUUGAUGCUGGUGGUGCAAGCCAAAGUUCCUGUGACAGAGAAAUGGCACAAGAAAUGUAUUCUGGAACUUACCUACCAGGUGUACAUUGUACAAUAUAGUAGGAAGCUCCUGACAAAACAGGAAGACAAGAUAUGUGACAAGACCAUCCUGCCGUAUAGGAAAGGAAAGCUAAGCACAUGUGCUGUCAGUGUAAGCGAUGUGUGUGUACGGAACAUGCUGUUGUCAUGUGUGAAGAUUGCCUGGGGUGUGACAAUUGAAAUAAAGAUUUUUUUUGUAGAGUUCUAUUGAUAUUUUCAUUGU
rnacentral:lncRNA from 1 species